UACCAGCACCCCGAGUGGUCGGGACGAUUAUUGGGCCUAAAGCAUCCGUAGCCGGCCUUACAAGUCCUCCGUUAAAUCCAGCUGCUUAACAGAUGGGCUGCGGAGGAUACUAUAAGACUAGGAGGCAGGAGAGGCAAGCGGUACUCAGUGGGUAGGGGGUAAAAAUCCGUUGAUCCAUUGAAGACCACCAGUGGCGAAGGCGGCUUGCCAGAAUGCGCUCGACGGUGAGGGAUGAAAGCUGGGGGGAGCAAACCGG
rnacentral:rRNA from 1 species